rnacentral:rRNA from 1 species
UACCAGCACCCCGAGUGGUCGGGACGAUUAUUGGGCCUAAAGCAUCCGUAGCCGGCCUUACAAGUCCUCCGUUAAAUCCAGCUGCUUAACAGAUGGGCUGCGGAGGAUACUAUAAGACUAGGAGGCAGGAGAGGCAAGCGGUACUCAGUGGGUAGGGGUAAAAUCCGUUGAUCCAUUGAAGAACACCGGUGGCGAAGGCGGCCCCGCUGGGCAGGAAGAUCUCGUAAGGGAUCGGCUGACGCUGAGACGCGAAAAGCGUGGGGGAGCAAAACAGG